rnacentral:snRNA from 1 species
AUUUUAACUAUGGCAAGCUCACACACAACAUUGGAACAAUACAAAGAUUAGCAUGGGUCCUGUGCAAGGGUGACAUUUAUGUCCAUCCCGUAUUU